CAGUAUGUCCUGGUGCAGGUGUGCUGGCGGGCAAGGUGAGGAGAGAUUUCAUCACUCCAGCAUAUGGCAAUGCGUCGCCUGCCUUGCCCUGCUCUCACCAGUAGAGAUGUGGUAGCCCGUUGGUCUUCCUGCUAUUGCUGUGAUAAGAAGCCCCCAAAAUGUUUCCGUUGCAGCCAUCAUGUCAAUCCAGGCCUUGAUGCAAUUGAGCACUGAAGAUACUUGGCCCUCCUUGUAACACAGCUUUACUUUGGUCCUGCGUGGUUUAAGGCACCAGACUCUCACUGGAGUUUACCUAAGGACUUGGGAUCUCACCAUUUUUAGUGGUAUAUGGAUACUUCAAACAAAGCAUCGGAGAAUUUUUAGUGUUCUUACUUAAAGAAAACCUGAGGUCAGAAACCGAGCUUUCUCAGGAAAUCUGUGGUCAGAGCAGGAAAGAGGACCCAGGUGUCCCGAGCUCUUAACGUUCAGCCUUUCCUCUCCUGCCCCCAAGCUGCCUGAGAGCAUGUUUGGAAGGAUGCCUGCUUGCUCAGAUACGGUGCAGACCUUCCUUCUUCUCUCGUCACAGCUGUGAACUUCUAGGAGGUCCUUAUAUGCUCAGCCGGAACAUGUCUGAGUACGUAGACGAAACGUCAGGACCAGGACUGAGUGUGUGGCACUGAGAAGAGAAAUCCCAUCUGUGCUGUGGAGCAGGAGCUUGGUUUUGGUUGUGAUUUCUCCCCACCAGCUGGUCUGAGUAAUUACAUAAUGUAUCGAGCCAAGACAUCCUGCUUUAUGCAACAAGUAAAUUCAUUUACAACCAUCUUUUAAAGCAAAGAAGAUAUACACUGCAUGUCCUCCUUUAACUGCACUACUUUUAAGAGUGCAAUCAACAAGCUAUUCAUUAGCUGGCUAGCAUAACAGUCUCAGAGGAGGCUGUGCCUGUUUUUCUUCUGCCCAGGACCUGCUCUGGUGUCAGGAGGUGAUGCAGUAGGUGCCUGCUGUGGCACAUGACCUUUCCCAAGGUGUGAACAGAGCUUUCUUGGUUGCCUCACACUCAUUACAGGAACCGCGGGGUGAGUGCCUGGGAACAGAUCGCUUUCCUGGUUGCAUCUGUGCUGUUUCUCUCCAUGUGGACUGGGAAAUGUGUAUGGGGCAGGCUCCGUACAGGGGAAUAGCAGGGCAUUGCUGUAGGUACUAACAUUGGCAAUAGGGAAAGCUGGCACUGUAUCACUGCUCUCUUCUUGGAUCCAAGACAAGGUCUCACUGUAAGGUACAAAGGAAUAAGGCCAACCACAGCCACUGUCAGCUCUGCUUCCCCACAGACGUGGUAUGUUAUGAAGACAAAAGCCCGGGAAGCAAGAACUCCACCAGAGAGGGAACAGGUGGAGGAAACGUGAAAUACAUCCCAGCAAAUCCAUUAUGGACAGUAUUAGCACUUCAUCUGCAACGCAUGACAUCGUAUCACUGUUCCAGCUGCCGAAUCUUUGAAGUGCCUUGUGAAACUUGUUCAGAACUCUGCAAGAGGAUUUAGCUGCUGAAGCUCCCCGACCUGUUUCAGCAGGGGGCUGUGGGCAGUUGGCAGUUAUUGGCAGGACGAGGCUGAGGAGCUAAUGCUGGUGCUAGCAGGAAGGAGGCAGGCUGACAUCGUGGGUUAGGACUCCUAGGAAGUAUUAGUAAAGAAUAGCCCAUUUGUCCUUUUCCCUGCAAAAUAAAAAGCAAGCAUGCAAAUCAACAUGCACACACACCUGUGGGUGAUUGACGUGUUGGGCUGUUAUUGCCUUAUCCCUUGCACCUGCUUGCAUAGCUGUGACACCCAGAUUUGACUCUUGGGGAUCUCAUGUGCUGUGAAGACACAUCUUACGUUGGGUGGUAUCCUCGAAAAUCCCUGUGCUAAGCAGAGCAAGUGCAAAG
ensembl:lncRNA